rnacentral:rRNA from 1 species
CCUACGGGAGGCAGCAGUGGGGAAUAUUGGGCAAUGGGCGCAAGCCUGACCCAGCAACGCCGCGUGAAGGAAGAAGGCUUUCGGGUUGUAAACUUCUUUUAAGAGGGACGAGCAGAAGACGGUACCUCUUGAAUAAGCCACGGCUAACUACGUGCCAGCAGCCGCGGUAAUACGAAGGUGGCAAGCGUUGUCCGGAUUUACUGGGGGUAAAGGGGGUGGAGCCGGGAAGAAAAGUCAGAUGUGAAAACCCGCGGCUCAACCGCGGAACUGCAUUUGAAAAUGUUUUUCUUGAGUACCGGAGAGGUCAUCGGAAUUUCUGGUGUAGCGGUGAAAUGCGUAGAUAUUAGGAAGAACACCAGUGGCGAAGGCGGAUGACUGGACGGCAACUGACGGUGAGGCGCGAAAGCGUGGGGAGCAAACAGGAUUAGAUACCCCGGUAGUC